UGCAGUCACGUCAAAUUCGGCGCCUGCCCCACCCAUGGCUAGUGCUGGUCCAAAUGGCUGCCAUAGGAAAACUGUGAUUCAUGGCCCUUGGGCCCCUCCUGGGCCUCAGGGAUAAGUUUGGUCACAGACACCC